rnacentral:rRNA from 1 species
GGGGGAUAUUGCGCAAUGGGGGCAACCCUGACGCAGCAACGCCGCGUGAAGGAUGAAGGUUUUCGGAUUGUAAACUUCUUUUAUUAAGGACGAAACUUGACGGUACUUAAUGAAUAAGCUCCGGCUAACUACGUGCCAGCAGCCGCGGUAAUACGUAGGGAGCAAGCGUUGUCCGGAUUUACUGGGUGUAAAGGGUGCGUAGGCGGCUUUGCAAGUCAGAUGUGAAAUCUAUGGGCUCAACCCAUAAACUGCAUUUGAAACUGUAGAGCUUGAGUGGAGUAGAGGCAGGCGGAAUUCCCCGUGUAGCGGUGAAAUGCGUAGAGAUGGGGAGGAACACCAGUGGCGAAGGCGGCCUGCUGGGCUUUAACUGACGCUGAGGCACGAAAGCGUGGGUAGCAAACAGGAUUAGAUACCCUGGUAGUCCACGCUGUAAACGAUGAUUACUAGGUGUGGGGGGUCUGACCCCUUCCGUGCCGGAGUUAACACAAUAAGUAAUCCACCUGGGGAGUACGGCCGCAAGGUUGAAACUCAAAGGAAUUGACGGGGGCCCGCACAAGCAGUGGAGUAUGUGGUUUAAUUCGAAGCAACGCGGAGAACCUUACCAGGUCUUGACAUCCAACUAACGAAGUAGAGAUACAUUAGGUGCCCUUCGGGGAAAGUUGAGACAGGUGGUGCAUGGUUGUCGUCAGCUCGUGUCGUGAGAUGUUGGGUUAAGUCCCGCAACGAGCGCAACCCUUGCUAUUAGUUGCUACGCAAGAGCACUCUAAUAGGACUGCCGUUGACAAAACGGAGGAAGGUGGGGACGACGUCAAAUCAUCAUGCCCCUUAUGACCUGGGCUACACACGUACUACAAUGGAUGUUAACAGAGGGAAGCAAGACAGCGAUGUGGAGCAAACCCCUAAAAACAUUCUCAGUUCAGAUUGCAGGCUGCAACCCGCCUGCAUGAAGAUGGAAUUGCUAGUAAUCGCGGAUCAGCAUGCCGCGGUGAAUACGUUCCCG